CUAGCUGAUGAGCUACAUUUGGAAUCUCGUUCGUCUGAAUUCCUGAUGAGUCUUUUAUUUCUGACAGUU